GACAGAGGGUGCAAACGUUGUUCGGAAUUACUGGGCGUAAAGCGCGUGUAGGCGGCUUUGCAAGUCGGGUGUGAAAUCCCACGGCUCAACCGUGGAAGUGCAUUCGAAACUGCGAGGCUAGAGUCCUGGAGAGGAAGGUGGAAUGCUUGGUGUAGAGGUGAAAUUCGUAGAUAUCAAGCGGAACACCGGCGGCGAAGGCGGCCUUCUGGACAGUGACUGACGCUGAGACGCGAAAGCGUGGGGAGCAAACAGG
rnacentral:rRNA from 1 species